rnacentral:rRNA from 1 species
GAUGAACGCUAGCGGCAGGCUUAACACAUGCAAGUCGAGGGGUAGAAGCAGCUUGCUGCUUUGAGACCGGCGCACGGGUGCGUAACGCGUAUACAAUCUACCUUUUACAGAGGGAUAGCCCAGAGAAAUUUGGAUUAAUACCUCAUAGUAUUUUCGAAUCGCAUGGUUUGAUUAUUAAAGUUCCAACGGUAAAAGAUGAGUAUGCGUCCCAUUAGCUAGAUGGUAAGGUAACGGCUUACCAUGGCAACGAUGGGUAGGGGUCCUGAGAGGGAGAUCCCCCACACUGGUACUGAGACACGGACCAGACUCCUACGGGAGGCAGCAGUGAGGAAUAUUGGACAAUGGGCGCAAGCCUGAUCCAGCCAUGCCGCGUGCAGGAAGACGGUCCUAUGGAUUGUAAACUGCUUUGUACAGGAAGAAACACUCCCUCGUGAGGGAGCUUGACGGUACUGUAAGAAUAAGGAUCGGCUAACUCCGUGCCAGCAGCCG